rnacentral:tRNA from 3 species
GGGGUUGUAACUCAGUUGGUAGAGUGCCUGCCUGAAGAGCAGAUGGUCGGUGGUUCGAGUCCACCCGGCCCCACCA